AAUCAACGCUGGCGGCGUGCCUCAGACAUGCAAGUCGAACGCGAAAGUCCCCUUCGGGGGACAAGUAGAGUGGCGCACGGGUGAGUAACACGUGGGUAAUUUACCUUCGGGUGGGGAAUAACAGUCGGAAACGACUGCUAAUACCGCAUGAUGCAGCGGCACCACAUGGUGACAGUUGUUAAAGCGGGGGAUCGCAAGACCUCGCGCCUGAAGAGAAGCCCGCGGCAGAUUAGCUAGUUGGUAAGGUAAUGGCUUACCAAGGCAACGAUCUGUAGCCGGCCUGAGAGGGCGGUCGGCCACACUGACACUGAAUAACGGGUCAGACUCCUACGGGAGGCAGCAGUCGGGAAUUUUGGGCAAUGGGCGAAAGCCUGACCCAGCAACGCCGCGUGAAGGAUGAAGUAUUUCGGUAUGUAAACUUCGAAAGAAUGGGAAGAAUCAAUGACGGUACCAUUUAUAAGGUCCGGCUAACUACGUGCCAGCAGCCGCAGU
rnacentral:rRNA from 1 species